rnacentral:rRNA from 1 species
CAGCCGCCACGGUAAUACGGAGGGCGCGAGCGUUACCCGGAUUUACUGGGCGUAAAGGGCGUGUAGGCGGCCUGGGGCGUCCCAUGUGAAAGGCCACGGCUCAACCGUGGAGGAGCGUGGGAUACGCUCAGGCUAGAGGGUGGGAGAGGGUGGUGGAAUUCCCGGAGUAGCGGUGAAAUGCGCAGAUACCGGGAGGAACGCCGAUGGCGAAGGCAGCCACCUGGUCCACUUCUGACGCUGAGGCGCGAAAGCGUGGGGAGCAAACCGGAUUAGAUACCCCCGUAGUCCCUGUCUCUUAUAC